rnacentral:hammerhead_ribozyme from 1 species
AUCCAGCUGACGAGUCUCAAAUAGAACGAUAUGGGCGUCCUGAAU